rnacentral:rRNA from 1 species
CAGUAGCCGCGGUAAUACGUAGGUGGCAAGCGUUGUCCGGAAUUAUUGGGCGUAAAGGGCUCGCAGGCGGUUUCUUAAGUCUGAUGUGAAAGCCCCCGGCUCAACCGGGGAGGGUCAUUGGAAACUGGGAAACUUGAGUGCAGAAGAGGAGAGUGGGAUUCCACGUGUAGCGGUGAAAUGCGUAGAGAUGUGGAGGAACACCAGUGGCGAAGGCGACUCUCUGGUCUGUAACUGACGCUGAGGAGCGAAAGCGUGGGGAGCGAACAGGAUUAGAUACCCCUGUAGUCCCUGUCUCUUAUAC